CCGGCUUCGCUCGAGGUAUGUGGAGAAACGUUUUGAAUUUCGGGGUAUCGUUUUCUUUAACUACAUUAAAGUUACCAGUCUCUUCAAUUUGCUAAUAAUAUGCAUGCUGCUAAUAUUUGGAAGUUACAGGUACUUCUUUGAAUCUGAACGAAAGGCUUGGGAUUAUGAAUAACAAUAACAUGCUUUAAGGAAUGCUCAUUAUGCACGUUGAAAUCUCCACUCUGGCAGCCACAGCUCUUAUGGACAAGCAAACAGGAAUUCAGUUCCUAGUUAAGAUCCCUCAGGAUAGACAGUUCGAGGAAAAAGGUUUCAAUGAUCUAGCCUUUUUUUUUUUUUUUUUUUUUUUCCAUAUAUAUAUAUAUAUAAUUCUCCUUUCUGACAACAGAAUGAUGCCGACGGUGCUUUAAACAUGAGGUCCAAAACUGCGCUGUGAACUAACUCCAUCUUCAAAAUUAAGGGUUGCGACUAAACAGAUGUCUUCAAUGGCAGGAAAGAGUAUAAACACUUACUUAGUUACUAAUUCAGAAGUCAAACAACAAAAAUCAGCGUUAUAUUUUCAAAAUUUUCACAGGACUAGUUUCGAUUGUUUUACUGAACCACCAUCCUCAAUGCAAAACCG